rnacentral:tRNA from 1 species
GUGGUUGUGGCUUUGUGGUAGAGCACUUGCCUUGCAGGUGUGAGGCCCUGGGUUCGAUCCUUAGCACCACA